rnacentral:rRNA from 1 species
UGGGGAAUAUUGGACAAUGGGCGCAAGCCUGAUCCAGCCAUGCCGCGUGAGUGACGAAGGUCUUCGGAUUGUAAAGCUCUUUUUAGCAGGGAAGAUAAUGACGGUACCUGCAGAAUAAGCCCCGGCUAAAUUCGUGCCAGCAGCCGCGGUAAUACGAAGGGGGCUAGCGUUGUUCGGAUUUACUGGGCGUAAAGCGCGUGUAGGCGGGUCGUUAAGUUGGGGGUGAAAUCCCGAGGCUCAACCUCGGAACUGCCUUCAAAACUGGCGACCUGGACUCAAGUAGAGGCAAGUGGAAUUGCGGGUGUAGAGGUGAAAUUCGUAGAUAUUCGCAGGAACACCAGUGGCGAAGGCGACUUGCUGGACUUGUAGUGACGCUGAGACGCGAAAGCGUGGGGAGCAAACAGGAUUAGAUACCCCCGUAGUCCCUGAGCGGGCUGGCAAGGCGCAU